GAUGAACGCUGGCGGCGUGCCUAAUACAUGCAAGUCGAGCGAACAGAUGAGGAGCUUGCUCCUCUGACGUUAGCGGCGGACGGGUGAGUAACACGUGGAUAACCUACCUAUAAGACUGGGAUAACUUCGGGAAACCGGAGCUAAUACCGGAUAAUAUAUUGAACCGCAUGGUUCAAUAGUGAAAGACGGUUUUGCUGUCACUUAUAGAUGUAUCCGCGCCGCAUUAGCUAGUUGGUAAGGUAACGGCUUACCAAGGCAACGAUGCGUAGCCGACCUGAGAGGGUGAUCGGCCACACUGGAACUGAGACACGGUCCAGACUCCUACGGGAGGCAGCAGUAGGGAAUCUUGCGCAAUGGGCGAAAGCCUGACGGAGCAACGCCGCGUGAGUGAUGAAGGUCUUCGGAUCGUAAAACUCUGUUAUUAGGGAAGAACAAAUGUGUAAGUAACUAUGCACGUCUUGACGGUACCUAAUCAGAAAGCCACGGCUAACUACGUG
rnacentral:rRNA from 1 species